UUUGUUUUGAACAGUUGAUUUACAUCAUUAAAAGAAGCCAAAAGUAACAAUAUGGCUAGGAAGAGAUUUUGAAGAAUACUGUGAUACCAGAUGCUCCCAUGUUUAAACAUGAGCUUCCUCUUUAAGGGAGUGUCAAAUAUAGAAGGUUGGAGUAACAAUAAUGAAUUCAAAGAGCUCAAUAUCCCACAUUAUAUUUACAUCGACAAUCGAAUCCUGGUGCAAGGUAAUAUUAGCAAAUCAGUAUAGUUUCAAUUAGUUCUAAAACUUAUCUAAUUUUAUAGGGUCUAGCAAUCUUCCAUUUUUAACCACAUGGAUAAACACACUUUUUUUUAUGGUUUUCUUCUUUUAAUCUAAAGUUUUCCCUCUAAGUUCAUAGCAUUUAAGAUACAUAAAAAGCAAAACUAAGUGAAUAUUUAUUAAUAUUUUUUUUCGUCCAAGAACAACGAACGUGUUAGAAUGUAACCUUUUAUUUUGCAAAAUUUCACUCUGCCUAAUAUGAUUGAUAUGUUUGACAUUUAGUUUAAAUUUUGAAAUUAGUACUUUAUUCAUUUUCUUGCAAUAAAUCCUCUCAUUAAUCCUCAUCAAAGUGCUUUGGUAUUUCUAAGACUAGCAAAAUUAGCUUGGUAGACCAGGCCGGAUUUGAGAUAAAUGUGCUUCAUGAUGCUACUAAAGAGCACGUGGGAAAAUACAUAACGACCUCCAUGUCACAAUUUGGAUACGUGCAAUGAAUAUUUUUAAUGAGUCAUCCAAUGCAUCUUAUUUGAUUCUGGUUAUAUUCAGCAUUUACGUUUUUCUGGUGUUGUCCUUUUCCUUCCAUCUUUUGCUCUUAAUGAUCCUUUAACUUGUGAUGCUAAAAUUAUCUUAAAUCUAAUUCUGCAAGUAUGUUCAUGGUUGCACGUGAAUAAACAAUUUUGAUAAUAUUUGCUAAUGUCUCUACAAUUGGUGUUGGCUCUUAUUAAAUAUCUUUGUGAAAAUAAGUCUCAAUAGGAAAUCUUAAGAAGUUCCAUUUAGAAUUUCCUAUCUAACUCAUCUGCCGAGAGAAUCAUUUGGUGGCAAUCCUAAACUCUUCAUUAUCUGUGUCAUUGCUACGGACAACAAGUACUGCACGAUAUAAUUUUCCUUUCCAUAAACAAAUAAGUAAUAGAUGUACUUUGGACUUGUGGACCAUGUUCUUUAACCAAUUAUUGAUA